AUGGCUCAGGAUGAACGCUAGCUACAGGCUUAACACAUGCAAGUCGAGGGGCAGCAUUGGGAUAGCUUGCUAUUCAGAUGGCGACCGGCGCACGGGUGAGUAACGCGUAUCCAACCUUCCUGCCAGUAGGGAACAGCCCGGCGAAAGUCGGAUUAAUGCCCUAUGUUCUUCAAUGCGGACAUCUAAGUUGAAGGAAAGAUUCAUCGCUGGCAGAUGGGGAUGCGUCCGAUUAGCUUGCCGGCGGGGUAACGGCCCACCGGGGCGACGAUCGGUAGGGGUUCUGAGAGGAAGGUCCCCCACACUGGUACUGAGACACGGACCAGACUCCUACGGGAGGCAGCAGUGAGGAAUAUUGGUCAAUGGGCGUAAGCCUGAACCAGCCAAGUAGCGUGCAAGGAUGACGGCCCUACGGGUUGUAAACUGCUUUUAUGCGGGGAUAAAGUGCGGCACGUGUGCCGCUUUGCAGGUACCGCAUGAAUAAGGACCGGCUAAUUCCGUGCCAGCCGCGGC
rnacentral:rRNA from 1 species